rnacentral:sRNA from 1 species
ACACGUGUCCCUGUCUGAUUCUAUUGUUGAGGUGAUGUGGGUUCUCUUUAGAUAAAUCUUGCUUCCAGCCACUGUUUCAGUUCGAGGACAUGCAGGAAAUCAUUCAGAACUUUGUGCGGGUUCAUGUGGAUGCCCCUGGAAUGGAAGAGGGAGCCCCUGUGUUCCCUUUGGGAUAUCAGUACCCAUCUCUGGACCAGCUUGCAGACAUGAUCCCUUGCGUCCUGCAGUACCUAAAUUUCUCUACAAUAAUUGGAGUUGGUGUUGGAGCUGGAGCCUACAUCCUGGCGAGAUAUGCUCUUAACCACCCGGACACUGUUGAAGGUCUUGUCCUCAUCAACAUUGAUCCCAAUGCCAAGGGUUGGAUGGAUUGGGCAGCCCACAAGGUUUGGAGGGGCCUGUGUGCUGAGACCUAGGGUUGGGGAUCCCCUCGUAUGGAUCCAGUUAGGCUCUGGUAGAUAGCCUAACUGGAUGGACUCUGAACUUCAAGGUGGGAAUAAAGGGGCAGGAAAGUGAAGCUGUCACUUUGCCUGAGUCUCUUAUAAUAUCCUGAACUUUCUUUUUUUCUUUUUUCUUUUUUUUUUUUUUUUGA